UACGGGGGGGGCAAGCGUUGUUCGGAAUUACUGGGCGUAAAGGGCUCGUAGGCGGCCAACUAAGUCAGACGUGAAAUCCCUCGGCUUAACCGAGGAACUGCGUCUGAUACUGGAUGGCUAGAGAUUGGGAGAGGGAUGCGGAAUUCCAGGUGUAGCGGUGAAAUGCGUAGAUAUCUGGAGGAACACCGGUGGCGAAGGCGGCAUCCUGGACCGGCAUUGACGCUAAAGCGCGAAAGCCAGGGGAGCAAACGGG
rnacentral:rRNA from 1 species